ACUCCUACGGGAGGCAGCAGUGGGGAAUAUUGCACAAUGGGCGCAAGCCUGACGCAGCAACGCCGCGUGAGUGAUGAAGGCCUUCGGUCGUAAAGCUCUGUCCUCAAGGAAGAAUAAAUGACGGUACUUGAGGAGGAAGCCCGGCUAACUACGUGCCAGCAGCCGCGGUAAUACGUAGGGGGCAAGCGUUAUCCGGAAUCACUGGGCGUAAAGGGUGCGUAGGCGGUUUUCAAGUCAGAAGUGAAAGGCUAUGGCUCAACCAUAGUAAGCUUUUGAAACUGUUAAACUUGAGUGCAGGAGAGGAAAGUGGAAUUCCUAGUGUAGAGGUGAAAUUCGUAGAUAUUAGGAGGAACACCAGUGGCGAAGGCGACUUUCUGGACUGUAACUGACGCUGAGGCACGAAAGCGUGGGGAGCGAACAGGAUUAGAUACCCUGGUAGCACAGAG
rnacentral:rRNA from 1 species